rnacentral:rRNA from 1 species
UAGGGAAUAUUGGUCAAUGGGCGAGAGCCUGAACCAGCCAUGCCGCGUGCAGGACGACGGCCUUCUGGGUUGUAAACUGCUUUUAUACAGGAAUAAAAAGGCCCUGCGGGGCAAAUUGCAUGUACUGUAUGAAUAAGCACCGGCUAACUCCGUGCCAGCAGCCGCGGUAAUACGGAGGGUGCAAGCGUUGUCCGGAUUUAUUGGGUUUAAAGGGUGCGUAGGCGGUUAUUUAAGUCAGUGGUGAAAACCCUGAGCUCAACUGAGGGCUUGCCAUUGAUACUGAAUAACUUGAUUACCGUAUAGGUAGGCGGAAUUCAUGGUGUAGCGGUGAAAUGCAUAGAUACCAUGAGGAACACCGAUAGGGAAGCCAGCUUACUAGACGGUCACUGACGCUGAGGUACGAAAGCGUGGGGAGCGAACAGGAUUAGAUACCCGCGUAGUCC